GACGAACGCUGGCGGCGUGCUUAACACAUGCAAGUCGAGCGGUAAGGCCCUUUCGGGGGUACACGAGCGGCGAACGGGUGAGUAACACGUGGGUGACCUGCCCUCAGCUCUGGGAUAAGCCCGGGAAACUGGGUCUAAUACUGGAUAUGACUCCAUGACGCAUGUUGUGGGGUGGAAAGCCUUGUGCGGCUGAGGAUGGGCCCGCGGCCUAUCAGCUUGUUGGUGGGGNGAUGGCCUACCAAGGCGACGACGGGUAGCCGGCCUGAGAGGGCGACCGGCCACACUGGGACUGAGACACGGCCCAGACUCCUACGGGAGGCAGCAGUGGGGAAUCUUGCGCAAUGGGCGAAAGCCUGACGCAGCGACGCCGCGUGGGUGAAGAAGGCCUGCGGGGUUGUAAAGCCCUUUCAGUGGGGAAGAAAAGCCUCGACCUAAUACGUUGGGGUCUUGACGUAACCCAUAGAAGAAGCACCGGCUAACUCUGUGCCAGCCGCCGCUGUAA
rnacentral:rRNA from 1 species